GAUGAACGCUGGCGGCGUGCCUAAUACAUGCAAGUCGAGCGAACAGACGAGGAGCUUGCUCCUCUGACGUUAGCGGCGGACGGGUGAGUAACACGUGGAUAACCUACCUAUAAGACUGGGAUAACUUCGGGAAACCGGAGCUAAUACCGGAUAAUAUAUUCAACCUCAUGGUUCAAUAGUGAAAGACGGUUUUGCUGUCACUUAUAGAUGGAUCCGCGCCGCAUUAGCUAGUUGGUAAGGUAACGGCUUACCAAGGCAACAAUGCGUAGCCGACCUGAGAGGGUGAUCGCCCACCCUGGAACUGAGACACGGUCCAGACUCCUACGAGAGGCAGCAGUAGGGAAUCUUCCGCAAUGGGCGAAAGCCUAACGGAGCAAUGCCGCGUGGGUUAUGAAGGUCUUCGUAUCGUAAAACUCUGUUAUUAGGGAAGAACAAAUGUGUAAGUAACUAUGCUCGUCUUGACGGUACCUGAUCAGAAAGCCACGGCUAACUACGUG
rnacentral:rRNA from 1 species